AUACGGUCAAAUCACGCUGAAACACCGGUUCUCGUUCGAUCACCGAAGUUAAGCAUCGUAGAGCCAGGUCAGUACUUAGAUGGGGGACCGCUUGGGAACACCUGGUACUGUAAG